GUGCCCCCACCUCGUGAUCGUCUUCUCAACCUUCGCGUAGGGGGCGUCCAACGGAAGACCCCCGCAAGGACGUGACUUGCGGGGGUCUUCU
rnacentral:ncRNA from 1 species